GAAACAUCUCAGUUAGCAUGUCAAGAGACGUCUGAGUCACUGAUGCAACAACCUGAACAAAUUCGAACUCAAUCGAGAGAGCUGCCAAGAUUAUGCUGACCUAUUCUUGAUCAAAUACCAUGUUACCUACAGCAAUCAAACUGUCACACAUAUUCUUUAUCUUCAAAAGAUAUUUUUUAUAGAGUUCGUGAAGCCAGUGGUCGCUUACUAAGAAAAAAACUAAGCAGCUCAAUUUCCAUUUCGAAGACUCUUCGUUUAAACCAG